GACCGCAGCGCUCCAAAAAAGGGGGGUUCCCCGUACACAUCCCACAUCUUGCGAGAUCGGAUAUCGUGUAUGGUCGCUCUCCCCGAAACUACGAGAAGGAUGCGGCUUCCCUCCUCCUCCUCGUCCACAGCGCGUGGACGCUGUGCGCAGCCGCCCUUCUCGGUGCUCGCUGAGUGACGGCCCUGUAAACUGAAGGGCCGGGCUUUCCCGGCAGUGGCGCUGUCCUUGAGACGGCGGUGCGCGAACGGACGCGAUACAGACACGUGUCCAGGUGCGCGGCUCAUAUAAAACAGCGCGCACCGUCCAUUCGACACCAUCGCAGGCCGCAGAUCCCAGCCUGAACACCAUCCCCUGAGCAACAGAAGCAGCCAUGAUUGCCAUCAGCAGCAAGUCCCUCCUUGUCGCCCUCGUGGUGCUGGCCGCCCUGUGUAGCCUGGCAGCCGCGCAGUUCGGCUACGGUGGUUACGGCCGCGGCUAUGGCGGUUACGGCCGCGGAUACGGCGGCUACGGUGGUGGCUACGGUCGUGGAUUUGGCGGCGGCUACGGCGGCUACGGUCGGGGCUACGGUGGCUACGGCCGUGGUUUCUACGGCUAAGCUGAACCUCCCCAAACGACAACCGCCUGCUGCAGUACGAAGAAUCACGCCGGCCUGCAAGAUGCCAACAAAUGUCGAUUUAGUUGCCCGAUCAUACGUCCUUCAUCUAAUAAAUUAAUUCGCGAUCACAA
rnacentral:lncRNA from 1 species